rnacentral:lncRNA from 10 species
CGCUCACGCUGGGAGCUGUAGACUGGAGCUGUUCCUGUUCGCCAUAAUCUCAGCUUCUACAGCAAUUUCAUGAGGCAGAUGUACAUAGGGUCUCACACUGUAAUCAUAGCUCACAGCAAACUUGAAUUCCUGGGCUCAAAACAUCCUCCCUGCUCAGCCUGAAGCACGCACAGCAACUUUUUUUUUUUAAGUAGAGAUGGGAUCUUGCUAUGUUGCAGAGGCUGGUCUGGAACUCCUGGUCUCAAGCAAUCCUCCUACCUUGGCCUCCAAAAGUGCUGGGAUUACAGGCUUGAGCCACUGUGUUCAGUCUGCACCUCCACUCUUUAUGGACAUGUUCCAAUAAUCUUACAGUCGUGUAGACUCCUAGAGCUUGUUUCUGUAAUAAAAGCAUCUAUGGAUGCAAUCUCUAUGAUUUGUUAACCCUUUGCUUAUUAAUUCUAUCCUACUUGAAAUAUAUGGAGAGACA